GGUUUCGUGGUGUAGCGGUUAUCACGUCUGCUUUACACGCAGAAGGUCCUGAGUUCGAUCCUCAGCGGAACCA